ensembl:miRNA Mir6897 microRNA 6897
CUGGGGGCAGUGUCACACGCUGUUUUAUGACGUAAGUCUCACGGUCUGUGUUCUUCCCCCAG